CGAUCACAAUAAAUAAAAUGAAACGUGUUUGAAGGUCAGAGAUUAAUUGUGCUUGGUCCUAUGAGCAAGUUUCUUACAGUUUAGAACUUAGAGUACACGAGGGAAGAGGCAUUCCAUGAAAAGGGGCUAGCGGAGGAACGUAAGUGUAAAAGGCCUCCAAAUAUAGUUUGCAGCAUAUACCAGCAGCAAAGACAGCCCUUCUUCUGCUACCUUACCCUGAGGACUUGGACAUUCCAGCGUAUCGCAGAACCGGAAUUCAGCUCCCAUUGCCCACAACAGUGCUUUCCUGCCUCAGUUUCAUAGAAAUGAUCCCUGUGUAACUCAGCAGCUCAUAUACAGUGAUAAAGUAUCAAGUCCAUCGUUUUCCCAAAUCAAGAGCAAUGCAUCCCACACAAAUGGGCAAGAAUCGCAGCUGACAGAGGUAGGAUUUUUCAAAGAUCCCUUGGCCCAGUUGGAUCCUUUAAACCUCAGGAAUUUCUUUCUGAUGUGAAAGGCAUGGAAAUUUGAAAAGAGAGCUGACCUGGUG
ensembl:lincRNA